rnacentral:rRNA from 1 species
GACAGAGGGUGCAAACGUUGCUCGGAAUUACUGGGCGUAAAGCGCGUGUAGGCGGGCUUGUAAGUUGGACGUGAAAGCCCUGGGCUCAACCCAGGAAUUGCAUCCAAAACUACAAGUCUAGAGUGAUGGAGAGGGUCGCAGAAUUCCUGGUGUAGAGGUGAAAUUCGUAGAUAUCAGGAGGAACACCGGUGGCGAAGGCGGCGACCUGGACAUUAACUGACGCUGAGACGCGAAAGCGUGGGGAGCAAACAGG